CAAAGACGUUUUUGCACGUGGGCACAAGAUGAAUUUAGGCACCUCUCAGAAUUGGAGAGCAAGAGAUGUGACGAGAACAAAAGGAGGAGGACCAUGAAUGAGCACUUAUUUAUGUUUUUGUACCCAAAAUGAUGAGCGCAUCAGAAGAA
rnacentral:lncRNA from 1 species